AUGAGUUUUGAAUGGGAGGAUAUCUUUCCUUUGGUUACGGUUCGCAAACUGGUGAGAGAUGUUUCGGACCACAAUCCACUGCUUGUGUCCUCGGGAGAGGAGAGGCAAAAGAGCCGUAAUCAACACGAAUUCCGAUUUGAGCUUAACUGGCUGUGUGACGAAAACUUUUACCUUAUUGCUAAGGAAAUAUGGGAGCAACCUGUCAGAUCAGAUGAUCCUAUUGACGUUCUUAAUAUCAAACUGAAGCGCAUUAAAAAAUACUUCAAAGGUGGGGCUCAAACAUUUUUGGUCAUGCCAGGAAGAGAAAGAAAGAAAUUAAAAGGGAGUUAG
rnacentral:rRNA from 1 species